rnacentral:rRNA from 1 species
CCUACGGGAGGCAGCAGUGGGGAAUAUUGCACAAUGGGGGGAACCCUGAUGCAGCGACGCCGCGUGAGUGAAGGAGUAUUUCGGUAUGUAAAGCUCUAUCAGCAGGGAAGAAAAUGACGGUACCUGACUAAGAAGCCCCGGCUAACUACGUGCCAGCAGCCGCGGUAAUACGUAGGGGGCAAGCGUUAUCCGGAUUUACUGGGUGUAAAGGGAGCGUAGACGGCGGAGCAAGUCGGAAGUGAAAGCCCGGGGCCCAACUGCGGGACUGCUUUGGAAACUGCCCGGCUAGAGUGCUGGAGAGGUAAGUGGAAUUCCUAGUGUAGCGGUGAAAUGCGUAGAUAUCAGGAGGAACACCAGUGGCGAAGGCGGCUUACUGGACAGUAACUGACGUUGAGGCUCGAAAGCGUGGGGAGCAAACAGGAUUAGAUACCCGUGUAGUC